AGCUCCAAUAGCGUAUAUUAAAGUUGUUGCAGUUAAAAAGCUCGUAGUUGGAUUUGUGGUGCGCGCCGUGGCGUCCGUUUAUUCGGUUCUGCCUUGGCCGUGCCAUCCUUGGGUGGAACCUGUGUGGCAUUAGGUUGUCGUGCAGGGGAUGCCCAUCGUUUACUGUGAAAAAAUUAGAGUGUUCAAAGCAGGCUUAUGCCGUUGAAUAUAUUAGCAUGGAAUAAUAAGAUAGGUCUUUGGUCCUAUUUUGUUGGUUUGCGGACCGGAGAAAUGAUUAACAGGGACAGUUGGGGGUAUUCGUAUUCCAUUGUCAGAGGUGAAAUUCUUGGAUUUCUGGAAGACGAACUACUGCGAAAGCAUUUACCAAGGAUGUUUUCA
rnacentral:rRNA from 1 species